UACGUAGGGUGCAAGCGUUGUCCGGAAUUAUUGGGCGUAAAGAGCUCGUAGGCGGUCUGUCGCGUCGGCUGUGAAAACUCGGGGCUCAACCCCGAGCCUGCAGUCGAUACGGGCAGACUAGAGUGCUGUAGGGGAGACUGGAAUUCCUGGUGUCGCGGUGAAAUGCGCAGAUAUCAGGAGGAACACCGGUGGCGAAGGCGGGUCUCUGGGCCGAUACUGACGCUGAGGCGCGAAAGCCAGGGGAGCAAACGGG
rnacentral:rRNA from 1 species